UACAGAGGGGGCAAGCGUUAUUCGGAAUUAUUGGGCGUAAAGGGCGCGUAGGCGGCUUGGCAAGUGGAUGGUGAAAUCCCUCGGCUUAACCGAGGAACGGCCGUCCAAAACUGCUUCGCUUGAGACCGGGGAGAGGUGAGUGGAAUUCCCAGUGUAGCGGUGAAAUGCGUAGAUAUUGGGAGGAACACCAGUGGCGAAGGCGGCUCACUGGACCGGUACUGACGCUGAAGCGCGAAAGCGUGGGGAGCAAACGGGG
rnacentral:rRNA from 1 species